rnacentral:tRNA from 1 species
AGAGUUAAAGUAUUAUAUUAAUAUAUCCAACUGUUAAUCGGAAGAAGCAGAAUAACUGCUGACUCUA